AAAACCCGAGGCUCAACCUCGGGCCUGCAGUGGGUACGGGCAGACUAGAGUGCGGUAGGGGAGAAUGGAAUUCCUGGUGUAGCGGUGGAAUGCGCAGAUAUCAGGAGGAACACCGAUGGCGAAGGCAGUUCUCUGGGCCGUAACUGACGCUGAGGAGCGAAAGCGUGGGGAGCGAACAGGAUUAGAUACCCUGGUAGUCCACGCCGUAAACGUUGGGCGCUAGAUGUGGGGACCAUUCCACGGUUUCCGUGUNGCAGCUAACGCAUUAAGCGCCCCGCCUGGGGAGUACGGCCGCAAGGCUAAAACUCAAAGGAAUUGACGGGGGCCCGCACAAGCGGCGGAGCAUGCGGAUUAAUUCGAUGCAACGCGAAGAACCUUACCAAGGCUUGACAUACACGAGAACGCCCUAGAAAUAGGGAACUCUUUGGACACUCGUGAACAGGUGGUGCAUGGUUGUCGUCAGCUCGUGUCGUGAGAUGUUGGGUUAAGUCCCGCAACGAGCGCAACCCUCGUUCUAUGUUGCCAGCGCGUAAUGGCGGGAACUCAUAGGAGACUGCCGGGGUCAACUCGGAGGAAGGUGGGGAUGACGUCAAAUCAUCAUGCCCCUUAUGUCUUGGGCUUCACGCAUGCUACAAUGGCCGGUACGAAGGGCUGCAAUACCGUAAGGUGGAGCGAAUCCCAAAAAGCCGGUCUCAGUUCGGAUUGAGGUCUGCAACUCGACCUCAUGAAGUCGGAGUCGCUAGUAAUCGCAGAUCAGCAACGCUGCGGUGAAUACGUUCCCGGGCCUUGUACACACCGCCCGU
rnacentral:rRNA from 1 species